CCUACGGGAGGCUGCAGUGGGGACUAUUGGGCAAUGGGCGCAAGCCUGACCCAGCAACGCCGUGUGAAGGAAGAAGGCUUUCGGGUUGUAAACUUCUUUUCUCAGGGACGAAGCAAGUGACGGUACCUGCGGAAUAAGCCACGGCUAACUACGUGCCAGCAGCCGCGGUAAUACGUAGGUGGCAAGCGUUAUCCGGAUUUACUGGGUGUAAAGGGCGUGUAGGCGGGAAAGCAAGUCAGAUGUGAAAACCAUGGGCUCAACCGGUGGACUGCAUUGGAAACUGUUUUUCUUGAGUACUGGAGAGGCAGACGGAAUUCCUAGUGUAGCGGUGAAAUGCGUAGAUAUUAGGAGGAACACCAGUGGCGAAGGCGGUCUGCUGGACAGCAACUGACGCUGAGGCGCGAAAGCGUGGGGAGCAAACAGGAUUAGAUACCCUUGUAGUC
rnacentral:rRNA from 1 species